AGGUAGAAGGAGUGGGUAUCAGGCUUCACGCCCAAGACACUCAGUUUAACCACACCCCCACGGGUACUCAGCAGUGAUCAAUAUUAAAUAUUUGCGCAAGCAAGAUUUAGUUAUAGUUGUAAUGGUCGGUUAAUUUCGUGCCAGCCGCCGCGGUUACACGGAAGACCAAAGUCGAUAGAUUCGGCGUAAAGCGUGAUUAGGGGCCCACAUAUAAAGUUAAACCAUAAUCUAGCAGUUAUAUGUCAACUUACUAGGGAAUCCCAAUAACGAAAGUAACUUUAUUUAAACCUGAACUCACGACAAUCAGGGCACAAACUGGAAUUAGAUACUCCACUAUGCCUGGUCUUAAACUUUGACUAAUCCGCCAGGGUACUACGAGCAUAAGCUUAAAACCCAAGAGACUUGGCGGUGCUCUAUAUCACCUAGAGGAGCCUGUUCUAUAAUCGAUGAUCCCCGAUACACCUCACCACUUAUUGCCAAAUCCGCCUAUAUACCGCCGUCGCCAACCCACCUUAUGAAGGAUGAAGUGAGUCUGAGGGCUUAUUGCCAACACGUCAGGUCAAGGUGUAGCUAAUGAAGUGGGAAGAAAUGGGCUACAUUUUCUAAUCUAGAAUACACGGAAGAUCAUUAUGAAACCUGGUCAGAAGGAGGAUUUAGCAGUAAAAAGAAACCAGCAAGUUCCUUUAAAGUUGUCCUAGAGCGCGUACACACCGCCCGUC
rnacentral:rRNA from 1 species